CCCUAAAUCCAGGAUGACCUCAUCCCAACAUCCAAAAUCAAUAGAGGAAACCAAAGAAAGGAGACACGUGGUCUGAAAUUAAUACAGCUGGUGAAGUCAGACUUAAAGCAGGUUCAUUUAUUUACAGUUGACUUGAAUAACUGAAACAUGGAUUUUAUAAUUAGAAUGUCUUGGAAAAAGCAACCUAAUUUACAGGUGGACACAAAAAGUACAUAAGAAAACCUCUCAGAUAUUAUAGGCUUUGAUUGCAGUGUGAAUGGCUGACUUGAAACUGACAUCAACUACUUCUUGGGGAAGACAGCUCAACACAAAAAGGAUGUUUGUAAGUAUGCCUUAUUUUAGAGAAGAAAGAAAUAAAUGACUCUUAUUCCUGACAGGGUGUAAUAUAUGUGUUAUUAUUAUCUUGAUCUGCUCCAGAUGAAUUAUUUCAACUACUUCACUCCAUAUCACAUAUUUUACAUUAACAAUUUGAA